UCUAAUGUGGCAGACUAAUGCAAUAGAUUUAAGCUCUAUUAAUAAAAAUUAUUUUUCUUUAGAA
rnacentral:tRNA from 1 species